rnacentral:rRNA from 1 species
UACGUAGGGGGCUAGCGUUGUCCGGAAUCAUUGGGCGUAAAGCGCGUGUAGGCGGUCCGGUAAGUCCGCUGUGAAAGUCGGGGGCUCAACCCUCGGAUGCCGGUGGAUACUGUCGGGCUUGAGUACGGAAGAGGCGAGUGGAAUUCCUGGUGUAGCGGUGAAAUGCGCAGAUAUCAGGAGGAACACCAAUUGCGAAGGCAGCUCGCUGGGACGUUACUGACGCUGAGACGCGAAAGCGUGGUGAGCAAACAGG